rnacentral:rRNA from 1 species
AUUGAACGCUGGCGGCAUGCUUUACACAUGCAAGUCGAACGGUAACAGGCCGCAAGGUUCUGACGAGUGGCGAACGGGUGAGUAAUGCAUCGGAACGUGCCCAGUCGUGGGGGAUAACUACUCGAAAGAGUAGCUAAUACCGCAUACGAUCUAUGGAUGAAAGCGGGGGACCGUAAGGCCUCGCGCGAUUGGAGCGGCCGAUGUCAGAUUAGGUAGUUGGUGGGGUAAAGGCUAACCAAGCCAACGAUCUGUAGCUGGUCUGAGAGGACGACCAGCCACACUGGGACUGAGACACGGCCCAGACUCCUACGGGAGGCAGCAGUGGGGAAUUUUGGACAAUGGGCGCAAGCCUGAUCCAGCAAUGCCGCGUGCAGGAAGAAGGCCUUCGGGUUGUAAACUGCUUUUGUACGGAACGAAACGGCUCUGGUUAAUACCCGGGGCUAAUGACGGUACCGUAAGAAUAAGCACCGGCUAACUACGUG